AUCGCUUCUCGGCCUUUUGGCUAAGAUCAAGUGUAGUAUCUGUUCUUAUCAAUUCAGUAAUUGAAUAGUAUCACUAGGGAAAAAAAAAACUGUAUGCUACUUAGGAAUAAAU
rnacentral:snRNA from 1 species